AGACUAAAUUAUGAGUUCCAAUUCUGGGUAGGGCUUUCAAAAUAGAGCCCUGACCAGUGCUGAAUCAACUUGAAGAAUGAUGAAGGGUUGGCUUCUCUCUCUCAGCAGCUGUGAGUUUGGUCAGCCCUUUGCAAAAUUUCCUCCUAGGCACUUUUGUCUGAACCACGUGGCACAAAUUGGCAGAGAACAAGGAAAAGAAGAACAGAGGAAGGAGAAAAGGAGAAAAGUCAUUCUGCUGAAAACGAGCUGACUGAGUUGGCUUGGCUGUACAUAGGAGGAAGACCCUGAUCCCUGGUGCUCAACACAGAAAUGCUUCAAUGAUACCCUGAGAUUGUUUUACCUUGCAACACUCUCUGGAAAAUUGCUGCUCCAGGAAUGCGAUGAAAAGAUCUGUAAGAGAGCACAGCCCCUGUUGAUUGACUUGUCUUGAUCAAACCAGAGCUUCUGGCUGGGAUACUGGUAUCUUGAGUGAGUCACAGCAGGAGAUACGUGCUGGAGCUGAAGAGGUUGGAGAGGCAGCAGAAAAGGUAGGAGACAGCAAGAGAAGGAGAGCAGCCUACAGAUGAGAAGACAAGUAAUUUACCCUAAAGUUCUAGGACUGCUGUUGGUCAAAGGAAAAAUCCUUCUGAGAGAUUUUGAUUUUAGGUUUUGAUUCUACUUCUGUUUCUAUGAAUGCUAGAGAGAAGAAGAAGCCUAUGAAGUAUACAUUUUCAUAGUAUUUUAUAGAUAAGAAUCAGUGUAUUUAAGCUAUUAACUGAGUCACCUAAUUAGUUAAUGAAAGAGUUGGGAUUACAACCCAAGUGUGUUUGAUCUCAGGGACCACACUUUCUAAUUCACAAAUAAUCUUUCCCUAGUAGAAUCCAUACCAGUGUUUUCCAAACUUGUUUUUUCUGUGAGAUUAACAAAAGUAAAUUUAGAGUAUAAUCUGCAAUAAAAGUCGUUGUUGGUGGUGAAUUAGAGGCAAGAGUCAGAAAGACCAUGUAAUUGAAUAUGUGAAGCAACAGGGGUUUUCGCUAAUGGGCUGUGUUCCUGAAAAGGUAAGGAAAGAGAAAAUAAUGAGGACAAAGAAAUGAAUAAGGCAAGGAAAAGACAAUAAUAGAAGCUGAAACGAAGUGAAAGGAAAAACAGACCAUUUGCUAUAUUUCGCUUUAUUACCACCACCAUUCUUAGACAUCAGAAGAUUUAAAAAAAAUCACGGCAGUAACUUCUUGAAGUAAUAUUGAUAAAACUUGCUUCCAAAUAUUUAUAUUUUUUGUAACUAAAAGCAUAAUCAGAAUUCAGUGAUCCCUUUUUAAUGCCACAAGUAGUGCAAUGUUAACAAGCUAGACUGCAUGAUAUCCUGUUUAAGUGUGUGUCUGUGCGUGAGUGGGGCAGGGAGGGGGUCUUUG
rnacentral:lncRNA from 1 species